UACAGAGGGGGCAAGCGUUGUUCGGAAUUACUGGGCGUAAAGGGCGCGUAGGUGGCCCGCUAAGUCGAACGUGAAAUCCCCGAGCUCAACUCGGGAACUGCGUCCGAUACUGGUGGGCUUGAAUCCGGGAGAGGGAUGCGGAAUUCCAGGUGUAGCGGUGAAAUGCGUAGAUAUCUGGAGGAACACCGGUGGCGAAGGCGGCAUCCUGGACCGGCAUUGACGCUGAGGCGCGAAAGCUAGGGGAGCAAACGGG
rnacentral:rRNA from 1 species